rnacentral:rRNA from 1 species
UACAGAGGGGGCAAGCGUUGUUCGGAAUUACUGGGCGUAAAGGGCGCGUAGGCGGCCUGCUAAGUCGAACGUGAAAUCCCCGGGCUCAACCCGGGAACUGCGUCCGGUACUGGAAGGCUUGAAUCCGGGAGAGGGAUGCGGAAUUCCAGGUGUAGCGGUGAAAUGCGUAGAUAUCGAGAGGAACACCUGCGGCGAAGGCGGGUUGCUGGGCCGACACUGACGCUGAGGAGCGAAAGCGUGGGUAGCGAACAGG